AAAAUACCAUAUAAUAUGCAUAAUAAAAGAAUUUUGUUGUCUAAAUCUGUUUGUAUUAUAACAGUAUUUUACAUCAAAAUACAUUAUUAUUGCUAUUUUAAACAUUCUGAUAUUCUUACAAUACACACACACACACACACACACACACACGUAUAUUAAUUGUAAGUGUGUUUUUAAAAUUAUUUGGUUAAGCAGCAUAUAAUUCUCUGAAUGUAUGAUUGUAUAAAAAAAAUCUUUAAAUCACACUAAUGGAUGACACAAAAUAUUAAUAAUAAUAUAUAACAAUUAUGUUAGCAAAGAACAUGUUACAUUUCCAGGUCUGUAUUGUCUGGAAUAUGUUUUGUUCCAGCACACCUGCGUAUGAUUUUCCAGACUUUGAUUAGCUGCUUCAGGUGUGUUUGAUUAGAGUUGGACGUAAACUCUGCAGGAAGGUAGAUCUCAGUAGCAACCCUGGUUUAAACAAUUAAAGGCCUUAAUGGAAAAGGCCUGUGGAAUGUUUGGAUAAUGAACUCUUGGAAAGGGUGUAAUUGGUGUCAGGUGUUCCAGUCAGUUCAGGUGUAACACCCCACCAUAAACAUAACUGCACAAUAUUAAUUCCCUGCUGUUCAAAAGGAAUAUGAAAAGACCUAUGAAAAAUAUUUCAAAAGGGUUGAGAAGACAUGUUGGCCUUCAUCAGUCUGCUGUGGUUUAUCUCAUCAGGAGGACAAUGAGCGGCGAUGACAGUUUCGUGAGCUCAGAGAGCACGCUUGGUGGCGAGCAUCUUUUAGCACCCUUCCCAGAUGGUGCGUGAUGUUCGGAAGUGGGGGAGCCACCAAUAAAUAUAUUUCCACAUUUAAACUACGGGAGAGGAAAGGAGUGUCGAUCAAAGAGCCAGAUCUCUGAGACAGGUACCAAUUACUCUCCGGAUCAGAAAUUUACCAUGAAUCUAUUCCUGCUUUUGUGUGCCUUUUAUAUUGCAGACAGUUUAAGGAAAGGCUGUCUUUGAUCAGACUGAUAAGCCAUGUUGUAUGCCAACACACGCAUUCACAUUCUAACACGCUGUGGCACACACACACUAACGCAUGCUAAAAUGCACUCAGUGCCACAUGUGCAGCCAAUUAGCAGCUGAGUGUUUAUGGGGGAUCCAGAUGAGUUUCAAACAGGGCACGCUCCUCGGCAGACUUUGAUGGCUUACAGCUUUAACCUGCUCUCAUCACACUGUUAGAGCAAAAAUGGAGGGAAAUGUUGCUGAAACGUUUGCUU
ensembl:lncRNA